ACUUUCACCCAGGAGACCAGGGAAUGUGUCCUGCGUGUCACGUUUUCUAAACUCAACCGUCACUUUAUUCUUGCGAUAACACGCCAAGUGGCAUGUAUGUUUAUGUCCGCUGUAAACAACGUAGACAUACACGCUGAUAGCUCAAAAUACGUGCAGAUAACAUGCCACUUGGCUUAAGAAAGUCGGCGUGUGUGUUUACGCGAAGUCAUGAUAUCAUGUUGACCAUGCUG